rnacentral:rRNA from 1 species
CAGCAGCCGCGGGAAUACGUAGGGUGCGAGCGUUAAUCGGAAUUACUGGGCGUAAAGCGUGUGUAGGCGGUGCUCUAAGUUCGGUGUGAAAUCUCCCGGCUUAACUGGGAGGGUGCGCCGGAAACUGGAAUGCUCGAGCGUGGGAGAGGAAAACGGAAUUCCCGGUGUAGCGGUGAAAUGCGUAGAUAUCAGGAGGAACACCUGUGGUGUAGACGGCUUUCUGGACCAUAGCUGACGCUGAGGAGCGAAAGCGUGGGGAGCGAACAGGAUUAGAUACCCCCGUAGUCCCUGUCUCUUAUAA